AUGGACGUUGAGGACUCCCCUGACUCCAUCUCAUGGCGACUGGAGCCCUCCGGCUGCUUUUCCACUAAGUCCCUCUACGCGGCCAUCGCCCCCUCGUCGGCCCCCGAGCCCUUUAGCUUGAUUUGGGAUGUCCGCUUGCCCCUGAAAAUCAGGAUCUUCUUAUGGCAGUGGAUCCGGGGACGCCUCCCUUCUGGGGUUGAAGUCCUUAAGCGUAAUGGACCUGGAGAUGGGAUCUGCCCCCUGUGCGGCACGGUGGAGGAUGCUAACCACAUCUUCUUCUCUUGCUCCACAACCCAGUUUCUCUGGUCCUGUUUCCACGAGACGGUCGGUGGUCAGUGGUGCAACACCAACUUUCCCGACCUGCUUGUUGAAAUCCAUGCCUCCCCACCCCACUACCGCCAUAUUAGAUGGCUAUGUGUUGGGGUUCUUGCCUGGACGCUUUGGACCAUUCGCAAUAAGCUUGUCAUUCAGAAAGUUCCUCUUCGUCGUUCGACUGACGCAAUCUUCAAAAUGUGUGGUUACUUGCAGCUCUGGCGGCCGCUUAGCCGCCCUCAGGACCGGGACGCCAUCAACAUUAUCCUCGCCGACCUUCGAUCGAUGGCCUUUCGCAUGGCGCCCCCGCUGCCGCCUCCUCCCCCGAAGCCCGACUAG
rnacentral:rRNA from 1 species